CUUAAACUGGCCCAAAACUUGCCGUUCAAAGCAAACCCUCUUGUAUUCACUCCCAUCGGAUACAUCGUUGUUCUUCUUCUCCACCAAAUCUCUCAAUAUAACUUUCAAAGCCCACAACUCACCGUACUGCUCUUCUUUAACCAGAAAAACCACGCCUUUAGCUCCACGGCCAAGCGGAGAUAUCACUUUGAGGCCAUUCAAGUCCAAAAUCGGCACUAUAUAUUCUUGUCUGUGUUGAUCUUGCGGCACAUCGUCGCACAUGGUAACGAAAGUGACCGGCGACUGACUAGAAGGUCAAGGCAAAACCGGUACGAUAAUCCU
rnacentral:misc_RNA from 1 species